ACGCUGGCGGCAGGCCUAACACAUGCAAGUCGAGCGCCGUAGCAAUACGGAGCGGCAGACGGGAGAGUAACACGUGGGAACGUGCCCUUUGGUUCGGAACAACCCAGGGAAACUUGGGCUAAUACCGGAUAAGCCCUUACGGGGAAAGAUUUAUCGCCGAAGGAUCGGCCCGCGUCUGAUUAGCUAGUUGGUGGGGUAAUGGCCCACCAAGGCGACGAUCAGUAGCUGGUCUGAGAGGAUGAUCAGCCUCACUGGGACUGAGACACGGCCCAGACUCCUACGGGAGGCAGCAGUGGGGAAUAUUGGACAAUGGGCGCAAGCCUGAUCCAGCCAUGCCGCGUGGGUGAUGAAGGCCCUAGGGUUGUAAAGCCCUUUCGGCGGGGAAGAUAAUGACGGUACCCGCAGAAGAAGCCCCGGCUAACUUCGUGCCAGCAGCCGCGGUAAUACGAAGGGGGCUAGCGUUGCUCGGAAUCACUGGGCGUAAAGCGCACGUAGGCGGAUUGCUAAGUCAGGGGUGAAAUCCUGGAGCUCAACUCCAGAACUGCCUUUGAUACUGGCGAUCUCGAGUCCGGGAGAGGUGAGU
rnacentral:rRNA from 1 species